rnacentral:rRNA from 1 species
UACGGAAGGCAGCAGUGGGGAAUAUUGCACAAUGGGCGCAAGCCUGAUGCAGGCCAUGCCGCGUGUAUGAAGAAGGCCUUCGGGUUGUAAAGUACUUUCAGUCGUGAGGAAGGUGUUAAGGUUAAUAACCUUAGCAAUUGACGUUAGCGACAGAAGAAGCACCGGCUAACUCCGUGCCAGCAGCCGCGGUAAUACGGAGGGUGCGAGCGUUAAUCGGAAUUACUGGGCGUAAAGGGCACGCAGGCGGUUAAUUAAGUUGGAUGUGAAAUCCCCGGGCUUAACCUGGGAAUGGCAUUCAAGACUGGUUAGCUAGAGUCUUGUAGAGGGGGUAGAAUUCCAUGUGUAGCGGUGAAAUGCGUAGAGAUGUGGAGGAAUACCGGUGGCGAAGGCGGCCCCUGGACAAAGACUGACGCUCAUGUGCGAAAGCGUGGGGAGCAAACAGGAUUAGAUACC